CAAUAGCGUAUAUUAAAGUUGUUGCAGUUAAAAAGCUCGUAGUUGGAUUUCUGGUUGAAGCGACCGGUCGGGCGUUGAUUCGUCCGCACUGGAGUCGGUUUUGGCCAUCCUCUAGGAAAGUGCGUCUGGUAUUAAGUUAUCGGGCGUAUGAUCCUGGUCUUUUACUGUGAAAAAAUUAGAGUGUUUAAAGCAGGCCUUCGCCUUGAAUACAUUAGCAUGGAAUAAUAAGAUAGGACUUUGGUCUAUUUUGUUGGUUUGCAGACCGAAGUAAUGAUUAAUAGGGAUAGUUGGGGGUAUUUAUAUUCCGAUGUCAGAGGUGAAAUUCUUAGAUUUUCGGAAGAUAAACUUAUGCGAAAGCAUUUACCAAGGAUGUUUUCAUUA
rnacentral:rRNA from 1 species